rnacentral:rRNA from 1 species
AGAGUUUGAUCAUGGCUCAGGAUGAACGCUGGCGGCGUGCUUAACACAUGCAAGUCGAACGAGGAUUUAACGGAAUGCGAUUCGUCAAAUGAAAUUAAAUCCGAGUGGCGGACGGGUGAGUAACGCGUGGAUAACCUGCCUCACACAGGGGGACAACAGCCGGAAACGGCUGCUAAUACCGCAUAACACAAGCAAUUCGCAUGAAUAGCUUGUCAAAGAUUUUAUCGGUGUGAGAUGGAUCCGCGUCUGAUUAGCCAGUUGGCGGGGUAACGGCCCACCAAAGCGACGAUCAGUAGCCGACCUGAGAGGGUGACCGGCCACAUUGGGACUGAGACACGGCCCAAACUCCUACGGGAGGCAGCAGUGGGGAAUAUUGCACAAUGGGCGAAAGCCUGAUGCAGCGACGCCGCGUGAAGGAUGAAGUAUUUCGGUAUGUAAACUUCUAUCAGCAGGGAAGAAAAUGA